CUGAUCAGCAACGCCGCGUGAGGGACGAAGGCCUUCGGGUUGUAAACCUCUUUUAGUAGGGAAGAAGCGAAAGUGACGGUACCUGCAGAAAAAGCACCGGCUAACUACGUGCCAGCAGCCGCGGUAAUACGUAGGGUGCAAGCGUUGUCCGGAAUUAUUGGGCGUAAAGAGCUCGUAGGCGGUUUGUCGCGUCUGCUGUGAAAUCCCGAGGCUCAACCUCGGGCCUGCAGUGGGUACGGGCAGACUAGAGUGCGGUAGGGGAGAUUGGAAUUCCUGGUGUAGCGGUGGAAUGCGCAGAUAUCAGGAGGAACACCAAUGGCGAAGGCAGAUCUCUGGGCCGUUACUGACGCUGAGGAGCGAAAGCGUGGGGAGCAAACAGGAUUAGAUACCCUGGUAGUCCACGCCGUAAACGUUGGGAACUAGAUGUAGGGGCCAUUCCACGGUUUCUGUGU
rnacentral:rRNA from 1 species